CAACUAAGAUCCGAAACGCUAGAAGAAAUCCGAGCUCCGAAGAUCUACGAUUAUCCGAAACAGCUUAACAAGUAUUAACCGCAUCAAUCAAUCAAAGGGACAAACAGCAGCGUUGAGGAAUAAAAUUAAUUUAACAAAAAGCUGUUUCAGGCUACAGUACAACACUCCAAUUAGCUUAUGCCCCAGAUUAUCAUUUAGUUCGGGAAGAUGUUCACCAAUUUGCAGGCUACAAGUUUUGCCAGGGAUAAACCAGGGUAGAAUAUUUAUAUAGCAGCUUCGAGAAACAAGAAUCGGCAGCAGAUGAACCAUAAUAACAACAUCAGCAGAGAUAGUCACAACUGUUCCGCCACCACCACCGCCAAUCUCCGGGCGGUUCUGAUUAAGCCUAACCCUGUAGAGUGGCCACAAAGUUCCGGGACUUCCAAAAUCGUUGAACAACUCAUACAAAGAGAAACACGUAAACUAAGCAAAUUUGUGCGGGUACUAAUAUCCCCGACUCAGUUCCAAAUAACCGUGCAUGAAACCCGCAUCAGCGCUCAGAAAAUUCCUCUGAUCGACGCAAUCUCUCCGUGUCCGCAGGUGUUUGAGCAGGUCGCAGCAUCGAUCCAUUUAACCAUGCAGCUGAUUUCGA